rnacentral:rRNA from 1 species
GAUCCUGGCUCAAGAUGAACGCUAGCGACAGGCUUAACACAUGCAAGUCGAGGGGCAGCGGGGGUGCAGGCUUGCCUGCACCUGCCGGCGACCGGCGCACGGGUGAGUAACACGUAUGGAACCUGCCCGCCACAGGGGGAUAACCCGGGGAAACCCGGCCUAAUACCCCAUGCCGCCCGGACCGGGCACCCGGACCGGGCGAAAGGAGGAAUCCGGUGGCGGCUGGGCAUGCGGCGCAUUAGCUUGACGGCGGGGUAACGGCCCACCGUGGCGACGAUGCGUAGGGGUUCUGAGAGGAAGGCCCCCCACACUGGAACUGAGACACGGUCCAGACUCCUACGGGAGGCAGCAGUGAGGAAUAUUGGUCAAUGGGCGGAAGCCUGAACCAGCCAAGUCGCGUGAGGGAAUAAGGCCCUACGGGUCGUAAACCUCUUUUGCCGGGGAGCAAGGGCCGGGACGCGUCCCGGCCCGGAGAGUACCCGGAGAAAAAGCAUCGGCUAACUCCGUGCCAGCAGCCGCGGUAAUACGGAGGAUGCGAGCGUUAUCCGGAUUUAUUGGGUUUAAAGGGUGCGUANGCGGGCUUUUAAGUCAGCGGUAAAAAUUCGGGGCUCAACCCCGUCCGGCCGUUGAUACUGGGGGCCUUGAGUGGGCGAGAAGAAAGCNGAAUGCGUGGUGUANCGGUGAAAUGCAUANAUAUCACGCAAAACCCCGAUUGCGAAGGCAGCCUUCCCGGCGCCUACUGACGCUGAAGCACGAAAGGUGCGGGGAUCGNACAAGAUUAGAUACCCUGGUAGUCCGGCCAGUAAACGAUGGAUGCCANCUGUCCCGGGCCGAUGGGGGCCUGGGUGGCAAAGCGAA